rnacentral:rRNA from 1 species
CUGCUGCCUCCCGUAGGAGUCUGGUCCGUGUCUCAGUACCAGUGUGGGGGACCUUCCUCUCAGAACCCCUACGCAUCGUCGCCUUGGUGGGCCGUUACCCCGCCAACUAGCUAAUGCGACGCAUGACCAUCCGUAGCCGGAAUCGCUUCCUUUAAACCCGAGGAGAUGCCUCCUCGGGUUGUUACGCGGUAUUAGACGGAAUUUCUUCCGGUUAUCCCCCUGCAAAGGGCAGGUUGCAUACGUGUUACUCACCCGUGCGCCGGUCGCCGGCAG